UAGGAAAUCUUCCACAAUGGGCGCAAGCCUGAUGGAGCAACACCGCGUGAGUGAAGAAGGGUUUCGGCUCGUAAAGCUCUGUUGUUAAAGAAGAACACGUAUGAGAGUAACUGUUCAUACGUUGACGGUAUUUAACCAGAAAGUCACGGCUAACUACGUGCCAG
rnacentral:rRNA from 1 species